UGGGGAAUUUUGGACAAUGGGCGAAAGCCUGAUCCAGCAAUGCCGCGUGUGUGAAGAAGGCCUUCGGGUUGUAAAGCACUUUUGUCCGGAAAGAAAUGGCUCUGGUUAAUACCUGGGGUCGAUGACGGUACCGGAAGAAUAAGGACCGGCUAACUACGUGCCAGCAGCCGCGGUAAUACGUAGGGUCCAAGCGUUAAUCGGAAUUACUGGGCGUAAAGCGUGCGCAGGCGGUUGUGCAAGACCGAUGUGAAAUCCCCGAGCUUAACUUGGGAAUUGCAUUGGUGACUGCACGGCUAGAGUGUGUCAGAGGGGGGUAGAAUUCCACGUGUAGCAGUGAAAUGCGUAGAGAUGUGGAGGAAUACCGAUGGCGAAGGCAGCCCCCUGGGAUAACACUGACGCUCAUGCACGAAAGCGUGGGGAGCAAACAGGAUUAGAUACCCUGGUAGUCCACGCCCUAAACGAUGUCAACUAGUUGUUGGGGAUUCAUUUCCUUAGUAACGUAGCUACGCGUGAAGUUGACCGCCUGGGGAGUACGGUCGCAAGA
rnacentral:rRNA from 1 species